UACGGGGGGAGCGAGCGUUGUUCGGAAUUACUGGGUGUAAAGGGCUCGUAGGCGGGGAAGUAGGUCGGAUGUGAAAUCUUAUGGCUCAACCAUAAGCCUGCAUCCGAAACCCCUUCUCUUGAGUAUCGGAGAGGAUAGCGGAACUCCUGGUGUAGCGGUGAAAUGCGUAGAUAUCAGGAGGAACGCCGGUGGCGAAGGCGGCUAUCUGGCCGAAUACUGACGCUCAGGAGCGAAGGCCGGGGGAGCAAACAGG
rnacentral:rRNA from 1 species